UACCAGCUCUCCGAGUGGUGGGGAUGCUUAUUGGGCCUAAAGCAUUCGUAGCCUGCUUGACAAGUCCUCCGUUAAAUCCAACGAUUCAAUCGUUGGGCUGCGGGGGAUACUGUCCGGCUAGGGGGCGGGAGAGGCCGACGGUAUCCUCGGGGUAGGGGUGAAAUCCUAUAAUCCCGGGAGGACCACCAGUGGCGAAGGCUGUCGGCUAGAACGCGCUCGACGGUGAGGGAUGAAAGCUGGGGGAGCGAACCGGAUUAGAUACCCGGGUAGUCCCAGCUGUAAACGAUGCAGGCUAGGUGUUUGGACGGCCACGUGCCGUUCUAGUGCCGCAGGGAAGCCGUUAAGCCUGCCGCCUGGGGAGUACGGCCGCAAGGCUGAAACUUAAAGGAAUUGGCGGGGGAGCACCACAAGGGGUGAAGCUUGCGGUUU
rnacentral:rRNA from 1 species